rnacentral:rRNA from 1 species
GAAAUCAAUAAGCGGAGGAGCUCUACAACCCUUUGUGAACAUACCUAUAACUGUUGCUUCGGCGGGUAGGGUCUCCGCGACCCUCCCGGCCUCCCGCCUCCGGGCGGGUCGGCGCCCGCCGGAGGAUAACCAAACUCUGAUUUAACGACGUUUCUUCUGAGUGGUACAAGCAAAUAAUCAAAACUUUUAACAACGGAUCUCUUGGUUCUGGCAUCGAUGAAGAACGCAGCGAAAUGCGAUAAGUAAUGUGAAUUGCAGAAUUCAGUGAAUCAUCGAAUCUUUGAACGCACAUUGCGCCCGCCAGCAUUCUGGCGGGCAUGCCUGUUCGAGCGUCAUUUCAACCCUCAAGCUCUGCUUGGUGUUGGGGCCCUACAGCUGAUGUAGGCCCUCAAAGGUAGUGGCGGACCCUCUCGGAGCCUCCUUUGCGUAGUAACUUUACGUCUCGCACUGGGAUCCGGAGGGACUCUUGCCGUAAAACCCCCAAUUUUCCAAAGGUUGACCUCGGAUCAGGUAGGAAUACCCGCUGAACUUAAGCAUAUCAUAAAAGCGGAGGAA